rnacentral:tRNA from 1 species
GCUCGGGUGGCGGAAUGGCAGACGCGCAUGUUUGAGGGGCAUGUAGAGUAAUCUGUGGGGGUUCAAGUCCCCCCCCGAGCA